UGCAUUCACUACUGUAAAUCGCUCUGGAUAAGAGCGUCUGCUAAAUGACGUAAA
rfam:Salmo salar isolate Sally breed double haploid chromosome ssa14, whole genome shotgun sequence.